rnacentral:rRNA from 1 species
CAGUAGCCGCGGGAAUACGUAGGGUGCAAGCGUUAAUCGGAAUUACUGGGCGUAAAGCGUGCGCAGGCGGUUCGUUAAGACAGAUGUGAAAUCCCCGGGCUUAACCUGGGAACUGCAUUUGUGACUGGCGAGCUAGAGUGUGGCAGAGGGGGGUAGAAUUCCACGUGUAGCAGUGAAAUGCGUAGAGAUGUGGAGGAAUACCGAUGGCGAAGGCAGCCCCCUGGGCCAAUACUGACGCUCAUGCACGAAAGCGUGGGGAGCGAACAGGAUUAGAUACCCCUGUAGUCCCUGUCUCUUAUAC